rnacentral:lncRNA from 1 species
GUACCUUAGGUACUACCUUAAGAGCCCUUAGGUACUACCUUAAUGGCCUUUAGGUACUAGCUAAAGGGACCCUAGGUACUACCUUAGCUAAACAUGAACUCAACCUCUCCCAAGCCUCGGGUCUUCCUUUGUGACCCUUAGAGCAUCCCAUUAUGCGGUUCUCUUAAGUGCUCAAGAGGUUCACCAAAGGUUUUUUGGGACUGUACCUUAAGUACUACCUUAAGGGCCCUUAGGUACUACCUUAAUGGCCUUUAGGUACUAGCUUAAGGGACCCUAGGUACUACCUUAAGGUAAACAUGAACUCAACCUCUCCCAAGCCUCGGGCCUUCCUUUGUGACCCUUAAAGCAUCCCAUUAUGUGGUUCUCUUGAGUGCUCAAGUGGUCUACCAAUGGUUUUUUGGGACUGUACCUUAGGUACUACCUUAAUGGCCUUUAGGUACUACCUUAAGGGACCCUAGGUACUACCUUAGCUAAACAUGAACUCAACCUCUCCCAAGCCUCGAGUCUUUCUUUGUGACCCUUAGAGCAUCCCAUUAUGUGGUUCUCUUCAGUGCUCAAGUGGUCCACCAAAGUUAUUUUGCACUGUACCUUAGGUACUACCUUAAGAGCCCUUAGGUACUACCUUAAUGGUCUUUAGGUACUACCUUAAGGGACCCUAGGUACUACCUUAGCUAAACUUGAACUCAACCUCUCCCAAGCCUCGGGUCUUCCUUGGUGACUCUUAGAGCAUCCCAUUAUGUGGUUCUCUUGAGUAUUCAAGUGGUCCACCAAAGGUUUUUUGGGACUGUACCUUAGGUACUACCUUAAGGGCCCUUAGGUACUACCUUAAUGGCCUUUAGGUACUACCUUAAGGGACCUUAGGUACUACCUUAAGGUAAACUUGAACUCAACCUCUCCCAAGCCUCGGGUCUUCCUUGGUGACCCUUAGAGCAUCCCAUUAUGUGGUUAUCUUGAGUGUUGAAGUGGUCCACCAAAGGUUUUUUAGGACUGUACCUUAGGUACUACCUUAAGGGCCCUUAGGUACUACCUUAAGAGACCCUAGGUACUACCUUAAGGUAAACUUGAACUCAACCUCUCCCAAGCCUUGUGUCUUCCUUGGUGACCCUUAUAGCAUCCCAUUAUGUGGUUGUCUUCAGUGUUGAAGUGGUCCAUUAUUGGUUUUUUGGGAUUGUAGCUUAGGUACUACCUUAAGGGCCCUUAGGUACUACCUUAGUGGCCUUGAGGUACUACCUUAAGGUAAACUUGAACUCAACCUCUCCCAAGCCUCGGGUCUUCCUUUGUGACCCUUGGACCAUCCCAUUAUGUGGUUCUCUUCAUUCCUCAAGUGGUCCACCAAUGGCUUCUUGGGACUGUAGCUUAGGUACUACCUUAAGGGCCCUUA